AAUAUACUCCCUCCGUCCGGAAAUACUUGUCGGAGAAAUGGAUGUAUCUAGAUGUAUUUUAAUUCUACAUACAUCCAUUUUUAUCUAUUUCUCCGACAAGUAUUUUCGGACGGAGGGAGUACUAG
rfam:Triticum aestivum genome assembly, contig: Triticum_aestivum_CS42_TGACv1_scaffold_113922_2AS